GUUCCCAUAGCUUACACCAACCAAAGCAUGGCACUGAAGAUGCCAAGACGGCGACCUCACAUAUCCCUGGGAAC
rnacentral:tRNA from 1 species